CUUCAUACCAAUCACAGAUAUAAACAAGUGUUGACACUAAAAUUACCGUUAUCCCGUUAUAAUUAAGAAAAUCACGACAUGAUAAGUUUUUUUUUUUUUUUUUUUUGAAGACUUUGGUUAUAUAGUCAACUAUUUGCAUUUAAAUAAUUUUGGGUCAAUCGACGUCUCUAUUCGUGUAUUUAAUAGUUUGAUUAUAUCUGUAACAUUAUUUGCAAUCCAUUUACUCGAUACUCCAAGUCCUUAAAUACUAAAUUUGACUUUAUUUUUUAAAUCAGGCUGAGAUGGAGUAGUUCUUUCUCCUCUUGAAUAAAGUUUGGCACAAUACUGAUUAAGUAAUUGUAUGUACAUGCCUUCUUUUACCAAAAAAAAAAAAAAAAUUGUGCGUGCCUUCUCAUAAAACAAAAAUUUUGUACAUAAGUACAUCUAUGCCCACUUGAUAUAAUAGUACUAAGAAAAAAAAAAUAAGAAAACCUAAUUACCCAUUUUAUUUCAUAUGUGAUAAAAUACCUAACAUUCAAACAACUAAAAUAGUUAUAAAGUUGCCA
rnacentral:lncRNA from 1 species